rnacentral:rRNA from 1 species
GUGCCAGCCGCCGCGGUAAGACAGAGGGGGCAAGCGUUGCUCGGAAUCACUGGGCGUAAAGGGCGCGUAGGCGGGAUGGCAGGUCGGUCGUGAAAUCCCUCGGCUCAACCGAGGAGCGUCGGCCGAUACUGCCGUUCUUGAGGGAUGCAGAGGAGACUGGAAUUCCCGGUGUAGCGGUGAAAUGUGUAGAGAUCGGGAGGAACACCGGUGGCGAAGGCGGGUCUCUGGGCAUCUCCUGACGCUGAGGCGCGAAAGCGUGGGGAGCAAACGGGAUUAGAUACCCUUGUAGUCC